AAACGGCGGCCGUAACUAUAACGGUCCUAAGGUAGCGAAAUUCCUUGUCGGGUAAGUUCCGACCUGCACGAAUGGCGUAAUGAUGGCCAGGCUGUCUCCACCCGAGACUCAGUGAAAUUGAACUCGCUGUGAAGAUGCAGUGUACCCGCGGCAAGACGGAAAGACCCCGUGAACCUUUACUAUAGCUUGACACUGAACAUUGAGCCUUGAUGUGUAGGAUAGGUGGGAGGCUUUGAAGUGUGGACGCCAGUCUGCAUGGAGCCGACCUUGAAAUACCACCCUUUAAUGUUUGAUGUUCUAACGUUGACCCGUAUCCGGGUUGCGGACAGUGUCUGGUGGGUAGUUUGACUGGGGCGGUCUCCUCCUAAAGAGUAACGGAGGAGCACGAAGGUUGGCUAAUCCUGGUCGGACAUCAGGAGGUUAGUGCAAUGGCAUAAGCCAGCUUGACUGCGAGCGUGACGGCGCGAGCAGGUGCGAAAGCAGGUCAUAGUGAUCCGGUGGUUCUGAAUGGAAGGGCCAUCGCUCAACGGAUAAAAGGUACUCCGGGGAUAACAGGCUGAUACCGCCCAAGAGUUCAUAUCGACGGCGGUGUUUGGCACCUCGAUGUCGGCUCAUCACAUCCUGGGGCUGAAGUAGGUCCCAAGGGUAUGGCUGUUCGCCAUUUAAAGUGGUACGCGAGCUGGGUUUAGAACGUCGUGAGACAGUUCGGUCCCUAUCUGCCGUGGGCGCUGGAGAACUGAGGGGGGCUGCUCCUAGUACGAGAGGACCGGAGUGGACGCAUCACUGGUGUUCGGGUUGUCAUGCCAAUGGCACUGCCCGGUAGCUAAAUGCGGAAGAGAUAAGUGCUGAAAGCAUCUAAGCACGAAACUUGCCCCGAGAUGAGUUCUCCCUGACUUCUUGAGAGUCCUGAAGGAACGUUGAAGACGACGACGUUGAUAGGCCGGGUGUGUAAGCGCAGCGAUGCGUUGAGCUAACCGGUACUAAUGAACCGUGAGGCUUAACCUU
rnacentral:rRNA from 1 species